GCCCAGACUCCUACGGGAGGCAGCAGUAGGGAAUCUUCCGCAAUGGACGAAAGUCUGACGGAGCAACGCCGCGUGAGUGAUGAAGGCUUUCGGGUCGUAAAACUCUGUUGUUAGGGAAGAACAAGUGCUAGUUGAAUAAGCUGGCACCUUGACGGUACCUAACCAGAAAGCCACGGCUAACGACGUGCCAGCAGCCGCGGUAAUACGUAGGUGGCAAGCGUUAUCCGGAAUUAUUGGGCGUAAAGCGCGCGCAGGUGGUUUCUUAAGUCUGAUGUGAAAGCCCACGGCUCAACCGUGGAGGGUCAUUGGAAACUGGGAGACUUGAGUGCAGAAGAGGAAAGUGGAAUUCCAUGUGUAGCGGUGAAAUGCGUA
rnacentral:rRNA from 1 species